rnacentral:rRNA from 1 species
AUUAGCUAGUUGGUGAGGUAAUGGCUCACCAAGGCGACGAUCCCUAGCUGGUCUGAGAGGAUGAUCAGCCACACUGGAACUGAGACACGGUCCAGACUCCUACGGGAGGCAGCAGUGGGGAAUAUUGCACAAUGGGCGCAAGCCUGAUGCAGCCAUGCCGCGUGUGUGAAGAAGGCCUUCGGGUUGUAAAGCACUUUCAGUCGUGAGGAAGGUAGUGUAGUUAAUAGCUGCAUUAUUUGACGUUAGCGACAGAAGAAGCACCGGCUAACUCCGUGCCAGCAGCCGCGGUAAUACGGAGGGUGCGAGCGUUAAUCGGAAUUACUGGGCGUAAAGCGCAUGCAGGUGGUUUGUUAAGUCAGAUGUGAAAGCCCGGGGCUCAACCUCGGAAUAGCAUUUGAAACUGGCAGACUAGAGUACUGUAGAGGGGGGUAGAAUUUCAGGUGUAGCGGUGAAAUGCGUAGAGAUCUGAAGGAAUACCGGUGGCGAAGGCGGCCCCCUGGACAGAUACUGACACUCAGAUGCGAAAGCGUGGGGAGCAAACAGGAUUAGAUACCC